rnacentral:pre_miRNA from 1 species
AAUGGAAUGGCUGGCCAUAUGGUAGGUAUACAUUUUCCUUUUUAAGGAACUGCCAGAUUGUUUUCCAAAGUGUCUGCACCAUUUUCCAUCCUCUCUGGCAAU